rnacentral:misc_RNA from 1 species
GAAAUGCGAUAAGUAAUGUGAAUUGCAGAACUCCGUGAAUCAUCGAAUCUUUGAACGCACAUUGCGCCCUCUGGUAUUCCGGGGGGCAUGCCUGUCCGAGCGUCAUUGCGAACCCCUCAAGCACGGCUUGUGUGAUGGGCCCUCCCGCGUCUUGGUCGUCAAGACGGGCCCGAAAUGCAGUGGCGGCUUCGCGGUUAUCCGAUCAGCCAGAGCGUAUGGGGACUUUCUCUCUGUCACACGCCCGCGGCGCGGACCGACGCCUGUCGACCUUUAUUCAUCUUUUUCUCGGUUGACCUCGGAUCAGGUAGGGAUACCCGCUGAACUUAAGC